GACGAACGCUGGCGGCGUGCUUAACACAUGCAAGUCGAACGGAAAGGCCCUGCUUUUGUGGGGUGCUCGAGUGGCGAACGGGUGAGUAACACGUGAGUAACCUGCCCUUGACUUUGGGAUAACUUCAGGAAACUGGGGCUAAUACCGGAUAGGAGCUCCUGCUGCAUGGUGGGGGUUGGAAAGUUUCGGCAGUUGGGGAUGGACUCGCGGCUUAUCAGCUUGUUGGUGGGGUAGUGGCUUACCAAGGCUUGGACGGGUAGCCGGCCUGAGAGGGUGACCGGCCACAUUGCGCCUGAGAUACGGCCCAGACUCCUACGGGAGGCAGCAGUGGGGAAUAUUGCACAAUGGGAGGAAGCCUGAUGCAGCAACGCCGCGUGCGGGAUGACGGCAUUCGGGUUGUGAACCGCUUUCGCCUGUGACGAAGCGUGAGUGACGGUAAUGGGUAAAGAAGCACCGGCUAACUACGUG
rnacentral:rRNA from 1 species